AUGGAGCAGCAGCAUGAUGACCACGGUGCCAUGUACUCCAUGGGCGCCGCUACUCCCUCCUGCUCCUCCACCUCCACCUCCUACUGGUUGGACUCGUUCCCAUCCGACUUGAGCUUCAGCAGCGGCGAGAUGCUUGACGCCGAAAGGGAGAAGCCAACAGCCUCGGCGCCGUCAUACAUCGGCGUGCGCGCGCGGCCGUGGGGGCGGUUCGCGGCGGAGAUCCGGGACUCGACGCGGGGCGGCGCGCGGGUGUGGCUGGGCACGUUCGGCACCGCCGAAGCAGCCGCGAUGGCCUACGACCAGGCGGCGCUCUCGUCACGCGGCGCCGCCACGGCGCUCAACUUCCCGCUCGAGCGCGUCGAGGAGUCGCUCCGUGCCCUCGGCGCCACAGCCACAGGCAUGGCCGGGGCCGGCUCUCCCGUGCUGGCGCUCAAACGGCGCCACUCCAAGAGAAGAAGGCGCGGCAAGGCCGAGAUAGCGAACGAUGCGGCGACAUGCCGGAGGAGUAAUAUGAUCGUGGCCAUGGACACACGGUUCAUCGUGGAGCUGGAGGACCUCGGCGCAGACUACCUGGACGAGCUUCUCAGGAUUACGUGUAAUACAGCUUACUAG
rnacentral:rRNA from 1 species